AGUGAACGCUGGCGGUAGGCCUAACACAUGCAAGUCGAACGGCAGCACAGUAAGAGCUUGCUCUUACGGGUGGCGAGUGGCGGACGGGUGAGGAAUACAUCGGAAUCUACUUUUUCGUGGGGGAUAACGUAGGGAAACUUACGCUAAUACCGCAUAUGACCUACGGGUGAAAGCAGGGGAUCUUCGGACCUUGCGCGAUUGAAUGAGCCGAUGUCGGAUUAGCUAGUUGGCGGGGUAAAGGCCCACCAAGGCGACGAGCCGUAGCUGGUCUGAGAGGAUGAGCAGCCACACUGGAACUGAGACACGGUCCAGACUCCUACGGGAGGCAGCAGUGGGGAAUAUUGGACAAUGGGCGCAAGCCUGAUCCAGCCAUACCGCGUGGGUGAAGAAGGCCUUCUGGUUGUAAAGCCCUUUUGUUGGGAAAGAAAAGCAGCAGGUUAAUACCCCGCUGUUCUGACGGUACCCAAAGAAUAAGCACCGGCUAACUUCGUG
rnacentral:rRNA from 1 species